UACGUAGGGGGCAAGCGUUGUUCGGAAUUACUGGGUGUAAAGGGUUCGUAGGCGGUGUGGCAAGUCGGGAGUGAAAUCUCUGGGCUCAACCCAGAGACUGCUUCCGAAACUGCUGUGCUUGAGUGUGAGAGAGGCUCGUGGAAUUGCAGGUGUAGCGGUGAAAUGCGUAGAUAUCGGGAGGAACACCUGUGGCGAAAGCGGCUCACUGGACCACAACUGACGCUGAGGCGCGAAAGCUAGGGGAGCAAACAGG
rnacentral:rRNA from 1 species